GAGGGAGAUGGAGAGGGAGAGGGAGAGGGAGAGAGAGAGGGAGAGGGAGGGGGAGAGGGAGAGGGAGGGAGGGAAAGGGAGAGAAGGAGAGUUAGGGAGGGAGAGAAAGAGGGAGAAAUGGAGAAGGAGAGAGAGGGAGGGAGGGAGAGAGAGAGAGAGGGAGGGAGGAAGAGAGGGAGGGAGGGAGAGAGCGAGAGAGAGAGGGAGAGAGAGGGGGAGAGGGAGGGCGAGGGAGGGAGAGAGAGGGAGAAAGAGGGAGAGGGAGAGGGAGAGGGAGAGAGAG
rnacentral:lncRNA from 1 species